UGGGGAAUUUUGGACAAUGGGCGAAAGCCUGAUCCAGCAAUGCCGCGUGUGUGAAGAAGGCCUUCGGGUUGUAAAGCACUUUUGUCCGGAAAGAAAUCCUUGGCUCUAAUACAGUCGGGGGAUGACGGUACCGGAAGAAUAAGCACCGGCUAACUACGUGCCAGCAGCCGCGGUAAUACGUAGGGUGCAAGCGUUAAUCGGAAUUACUGGGCGUAAAGCGUGCGCAGGCGGUUUGCUAAGACCGAUGUGAAAUCCCCGGGCUCAACCUGGGAACUGCAUUGGUGACUGGCAGGCUAGAGUAUGGCAGAGGGGGGUAGAAUUCCACGUGUAGCAGUGAAAAUGCGUAGAGAUGUGGAGGAAUACCGAUGGCGAAGGCAGCCCCCUGGGCCAAUACUGACGCUCAUGCACGAAAGCGUGGGGAGCAAACAGGAUUAGAUACCCUGGUAGUCCACGCCCUAAAACGAUGUCAACUAGUUGUUGGGGAUUCAUUUCCUUAGUAACGUAGCUAACGCGUGAAGUUGACCGCCUGGGGAGUACGGUCGCAAGAUUAAAACUCAAAUGGAAUUGACGGGGUCAUAGCUGUUUCCU
rnacentral:rRNA from 1 species